UUGAACGCUGGCGGCAUGCCUAACACAUGCAAGUCGAACGGCAGCAUGGUCUAGUUUACUAGACUGAUGGCGAGUGGCGGACGGGUGAGUAACGCGUAGGAAUAUACCUUAAAGAGGGGGAUAACUUGGGGAAACUCAAGCUAAUACCGCGUAAGUUCUGAGGAAGAAAGCUGGGGACCUUUUGGCCUGGCGCUUUAAGAAUAGCCUGCGUACGAUUAGCUAGUUGGUGAGGUAAGGGCUCACCAAGGCGUCGAUCGUUAGCUGGUCUGAGAGGAUGGCCAGCCACACUGGGACUGAGACACGGCCCAGACUCCUACGGGAGGCAGCAGUGGGGAAUAUUGGACAAUGGGGGGAACCCUGAUCCAGCAAUGCCGCGUGUGUGAAGAAGGCCUGAGGGUUGUAAAGCACUUUCAGUGGGGAGGAGGGUUGAUUGGUUAAGAGCUGAUUAAUUGGACGUUACCCACAGAAGAAGCACCGGCUAACUCCGUGCCAGCAGCCGCAGUAA
rnacentral:rRNA from 1 species